rnacentral:misc_RNA from 1 species
GUCUAAAAUUGUUACGCCAGAAGACUGUUUUGACAUUUUCAGUCAUUUUAUAUCAAAAUGGGAUGUGAUGGAGGAACGAUACCUAAAAGAGAUGAACUUGUCAGAACGAAGAAAAAGCCAGAACAGGUAAAUUGUUUAAAAGAUGACCAUUGUACAUUUUCUGAAGAAAAUAAAACCUGACAUUUGUUACAUGAAUUGUAAAAAGAAUAGUUUUCAGGUUUUAAAAAUGGCCCAUACAGCAGUUUUAUGGCUCUUCCAAGUAUUUUUCAUCAUCUUAAAAUGACUGAUACAUAUUUUG